AGGACAGGUGCAACAUUUAAAUUGGCUUAUUAAUCAGACAAAUUUGUUCCCAUAAAUCUAAAGUGUGAUUUUUCGACAUUGACUGUUUUUCUCAUUGACAAGCAAAUGAUGACGCGUAUAAUUGACCUCAGAUGUUUUCAGUCGGUAUGAUUGACAUUUUGGCAAAAUCUAGCGUGCCAGCGCAAUGUGGAACGCAAUGUGGAAUGCCUCUUCAGAUGGGCUACUGAAUCCUUGAUCUAACGUUACUACGACAUGCGUAGGCUGGCAAUGUAAUUUGAGCGGGACGGUAUAUUUUUAUUUCUUCACCGCGCAAUUCAAAUGCAGGAAGUGUCCCAUUAUCCUAUAGGCUUUGGAAACCAUUGUCCACAAGGUCCAUGCUCAAAACUCUACCACACAGUCCCCUGCCAUGAAUGCUACGACCAAAGCUGGCAGUGCUAGUUCCAAGAUGCCUGAUGUCACCAAGAACAACAUUGCCAAAGGAGCCAGUCCAUCUUUGCAGUCCAGCUCCUUCACGCUCAUCAUACCCAUCAUGGUGGGGGGCUCACUACAGGGGUGCUUCUAGAGGGUCUGUUGAGCAGUGAACAGACACCAGCAAGACUUUAACAUCCCUGGCCUAGAUGGGGUAAACUGUUUCACAAAGAUCACAUUUUUAAAAUAAAUAAUCAGAAAGGCAGUCGUGCGCUCCUAACCGAAGAGAUUUGGUGGAGUUGCCGGAGGAGAACCCAUUUCUACUUCACUGAUGGGAAUUGUUAUUUGCCCUCGCACCUUCCGGACGCUUCAAACCAGUAAGCCUUCACACCUCGCACACUGGCCCCAUGCCCCUCUCCAUGGAGGCAGUCCAUGAUGAGUAUGUACUGUACGGAACUCUGCUCUUUGAACCGUUUGGUCCCGCUGUUCCUGUGUAGACACCAGGGGGUAGUUUAGUAAUUUGAUAAAAUAUCUAAAGAGAGGUUGGUUGAGGCACUUUGAAAAUAAGGUAUAGAAUCUGUGGCACAUGCACAAACAGUGGCAUUUCUGCACCUGCAGUGGGUACUUUAUCAGAGGCUUGAUGUACACUUGUGAUUUAUUUCUAGAAUAUGGAAUUGUGUGAGUUAGCAUAUGUGAUAUUUAAUCGUCUAAAUCAGUGAUGUGAUUUGUUUUUAAGGCCAGGUUCAAUAAACCUUUGAAAUGUAGGUUACUUGUGACAAUUGUCUUGUAAAAUAAAAAUACUUUAACAUAAUGUUUCUCCUCCUGUCUCUAAAUUCUAAAGCUUGACCUGCC
ensembl:lncRNA